GUCCUCGUGGUGGUGCUGGUAACCCGGGGGAGAAAGGGGAUAGGGGUGUAUUCUCCACCCUGGGAAGACGAGGACCCACUGGACAGAAAGGUGACAAAGGGCAGCCGGGACGCCCAAGUACCUCUGGAAGUGGCAAUCCUGGACGACCCGGCGUAAUGGGAUUCCCUGGGGCUCCAGGGCCAAAGGGUGAUGCUGGGUUUGAGAUCCUAGGUCCAGCCGGCCUUAAAGGUUUCCCAGGUGGUGUUGGGGCCCAGGGCCCUCCUGGAGAUCCAGGAGUACUGGGCCGACCAGGGAGUCCGGGACCACCCGGCCUCAAUGGGUCCUCAGGCCCCAAAGGAAGUAAAGGUGUAGAUGGUUCCCAAGGACCUCCUGGUUACGCAGUUACUUGCUGUACUGAAGCCCCAACCGGACCACCAGGGCUGUCAGGCAGACCUGGACCCCCAGGUGAGCUGGUGAAGCCUGAAUGUUCCUAAUGUCUCUAACAUACAACUGGUUGUCUUCCUAAUGUC
rnacentral:lncRNA from 1 species